rnacentral:rRNA from 1 species
AUUCUGGCUCAGGAUGAACGCUAGCUACAGGCUUAACACAUGCAAGUCGAGGGGCAGCAUGAAGUCAGCUUGCUGACUUGAUGGCGACCGGCGCACGGGUGAGUAACGCGUAUCCAACCUACCCCAUAGUAGGGGAUAGCCCGUAGAAAUGCGGAUUAAUACCCUAUGUUUUCCGAGGAGGACAUCUGACUUGGAACAAAGAUUCAUCGCUAUGGGAUGGGGAUGCGUCCGAUUAGCUUGUUGGCGGGGUGACGGCCCACCAAGGCGACGAUCGGUAGGGGUUCUGAGAGGAAGGUCCCCCACACUGGUACUGAGACACGGACCAGACUCCUACGGGAGGCAGCAGUGAGGAAUAUUGGUCAAUGGGCGAGAGCCUGAACCAGCCAAGUAGCGUGCAAGGAAGACGGCCCUACGGGUUGUAAACUGCUUUUAUCAGGGGAUAAAGUGUGGGACGCGUCCCUCAUUGCAGGUACCUGAUGAAUAAGGACCGGCUAAUUCCGUGCCAGCAGCAGC